ensembl:snoRNA
ACCCUAGAGGCGCUGCAGGUCUGGCUGCAGUACCACUAGUGCAUCAGUAGGGGGCAGAGAGGAGAGAGGCAAUUUCUUUCUUUCUUUUUUUUUUUUCUUUUUAUU